rnacentral:rRNA from 1 species
GACGAACGCUGGCGGCGUGCUUAACACAUGCAAGUCGAACGGAAAGGCCCUGCUUUUGUGUGGUGCUCGAGUGGCGAACGGGUGGGUAACACGUGAGUAACCUGCCCUUGACUUUGGGAUAACUUCAGGAAACUGGGGCUAAUACCGGAUAGGAGCUCCUGCUGCAUGGUGGGGGUUGGAAAGUUUCGGCGGUUGGGGAUGGACUCGCGGCUUAGCAGCUGGUUGGUGGGGUAGUGGCUUACCAAGGCUUUGACGGGUAGCCGGCCUGAGAGGGUGACCGGCCACAGUGGGACUGAGAUACGGCACAGACUACUAGGGGCGGAAGCAGUGGGGAAUAUUGCACCAGGGGCGGAAGACUGAUGCAGAAACGCUGCGUGCGGGAUGACGGGUUUGGGGUUGUAAACCGCUUUCGCUUGUGACGAAGCGUGCGUGACGGUAAUGGGUAAAGAAGCACCGGCUAACUACGUG